UCGUUUAAAGCCAUUACGUCAGCAUCCUAAGCGAACCGCUGGCUUGCCUGUUCCGGUGCCUGCCGCUCCCGCGUCCGCUAGCACGCUAUCGAACGAGGGUGGCCGAGCAGGGUUCGGUGCCGCGCCUCCGAAGAGGUGUCCGCUGCAAUCCUCAGUCCCGCGCCGCGCAUUUGCCCAGUCUAUAACACCACCGCGAACGGAGGCCACCUUCCCCGAAUUCUUCUCCCUGCCGGCCGAACUGACGCUGUCCUGCAAGAGGAAAGUGCACAAGAGUCGUUCCCACCACGACCAGGCAGCCGGAGGUUUUACCCAACCGACACGCCGGCGCUUGAGACGAAGCUGGUGAUUCCCUGCUGCACGUAAUUC
rnacentral:rRNA from 1 species